rnacentral:misc_RNA from 1 species
GAGAUACUGAAGAAACUUGAAGAAAUUCGAAAUAAGAUCAUUUAAGGAUAUGCUUUUGAAGGUGCCUUUUUGCUUUCGACUUUGAUUAUCUUAUUUUUGGUUCAUUCUGCAUAGUGGUUACUAGUAUUGAAGGAAUGAAACAUAAUCAUGUUCUCAUGACUGUACGAUGCUUUUCCUGUAUUUAUCAGAAAUUAAAAGCUGAAUGGUGUUCAGACUUAGCUUUGUCUUGCCUAUUGUUGUCAAACUUCUUGAUAUCUGAAGGGUGAUGCAUGUGAAUAUUAUCCUCGUAUUGGUGUACAUCAAUAUUCAUUUUUUUUAAUAUAUAUAUGUAUACAUGAAGUGUGGUUAUUUGUGGCUUAUUAAGCACGUGUUUAUGCAUGUGCAGUUCAUAAGCACUCUU